rnacentral:lncRNA from 1 species
CCCCACCGCUGUGACUACUCCGGACUCGCCCGCAGAGUUUGCCCGCCUGGGAGGGUGGCCGAUUGGCGGAGCGCACUCCUGCUGUUUUCCCCACCAUCUCGUGGAUGUCGUCCCUCGGGUGGUGAGAGAAGUUUGCAGCGGGCUGGAGCGCCCUUUACGGAGAAGCAGAAGAAGGUAAAGGAAGGAAAGAAGACCGAGGAAGAAGGGGCUCGGAAGAAGGGUCCAGAGCGGCCGAGCCGGCCGUGCAGGACGAGUGCGCGCGAGGCGCGGCGCCCUGAUGCUCCUCGGGCUCGAGGAGCAGCGGGCAGUUGCUGGACUGCUCUCGGUGGAGUAGCCCCAUCGGUCCCGGAGGGUUUGUGCAACGGCGGAGAACACCGAGUGCUGGUCGCACGGGGCGUGCCGAGUCGCCUCCCGGCGCGCCCUCCGCACUUUCCCCGCCUCGUCAUCCCACGCUCCCCGGCCAGGAGCCUCCGCCGCUUCCUCAACCUCGCUCCCCUUUGCGUCCCGGGAGCCUGCGAGCACCUGGCCGAAGGCGCAGCCGAGUCUUGCGGGAGUCGCCCCGAAAGCGUCGGGUUUGUUUGUGUGGGGUUAGCGGGGGCCGCCUCGCCACCUGCAUCUCGCCCGCCGCCGCCUCGGGGAAAACCCGAAGAGGAGGCGGACCAGGAGAAGAGCAAAGAAAAGCAGCCCGUCUGGAUUUGUUUGCCCAGGACUGGCGCCGCGCACGCGGAUCGCCGAGGGGAGUGCGGUCGGAGUCACCGCGCCCCCGCCUCCCCGCCCCGGCGGCUGAGGCCGGGGGGUUGGAGCGCUGCCCCCGCGCACAGUCCCCGAGCGCCUGGCGUCUCCGCGCAGGUUCUCGAAGCAGCUGGGCCUGGGGCGCCCACAAAUGUGGCCCUGAGGGCCGGAGCCCGCACCGACGGGAGCGGGAGCAGGAGCAGCUGGGGGCGCCGAGUGGCCAGUGCGCCCGGCCGAGCGCGCCUGCGUGCGUGGCCAGCGCGCUCCCCGCUUCUGCCUGGCUUCCCGGCUUAA